GGUGUACUAAGGACAUGUCUGUAUAACAGCCAGAGGGAUCAAAGAUGUGUGCUAAGGCUGAGCCAUACCACAACUACAAACAGUUUUUUUUUUUUUCAGUAAAUAACACAAUUUUGGGGUUUACAGUGUGAUCCUAAAACAGCCUUUAGUCCCAGAAUUUGAGAUGGUUCUCUGAGUUCCAAGCCAGACUGGUCUACAUAGUGAGUUCUAGGCCAGACAAAGCUGCACAUUAAUUAAUUAGAAACUAAAAAGUUUUUCAAAAAUAAUCUAAAUGGGGAGAAGAAGGGACCAAACAAAGAAAGGGUGUUGAAUAAGAACAAAAUUUACAGGGAAUGGUGGCACAUGCCUGUAAUCCGAGAAUCUCAGGAGACAGAGGCAGAGUUUGAGGCCAUCCUGGUCUACAUAGGGAGUUUCAGGAUAGCUAGAACUAUGUAAAGAGACCCUGUCUCAAAAAACCAAAAAAAAAAAAAAAAAAAGCCACCAAAAAAAAUCCAUCAAAUUAAAAAAAAAUCCCCAAAUGAACAAAACAAAAAACCCCGAAUUUCAGUGAUAUAUAUGUGUAGAAAUGCCAUAAUGAAACAUUACUUUUUAUAAUAACUAGACAAGCAUCUAAUUAUGAGUAUAUGUGUGGUUAUGGCAACAAUUUCUUUCUAUCUGUCUUAGUUACUGUUCUAUUGCUGUGCAGAGACACCAUGAACAAGGCAACUUAUUAAAAAAAUCAUUUAAUUGGGCAGUGGUGACAUAGGCCUUUAAUCCCAGCACUGGGGAGGCAGAGGCAGAGGCAGAGGCAGAGGCAGGUAAGUUUGAGGCCAGCGUGGUCUAUAGCACAAGUUCUAGGACAGCCAGGAGUGUUACCCAGAGAAAUCCUGUCUCAAUAAACAAAACAAAACAAAACAAAACAAAACAAAACAAAACAAAACAAUUCACUUUAGCAUCAGUGUUGGAGACACUGACUGCUCAUGCAGAGGACCUAAGUUUGAUUCCUAACACCUACAUGGCACUUCAUAACUGUCUGUAUGUUCAGAUUCCAGGGAAUCUGAAGCCCUCUUCUAUCCAGCCUUUGAGGGUACCACCCACAUAAAACACUUGCACACAUUAAAAAACAAACAAACAAACAAACAAACAAACAAACAAACACUUUAGUUUUUUAUACCUGUAGGUUCUUUUUUGUUUUGUUUUGUUUUUGUUUUUGAGCUAGGGUCACACAAUGUAGACUAGGCUGGCUUUGAACUAACUCAUAGAUAUCCUGCUGCUUCUGCCUCCCAAGUGCUGGGAUUCAAGGCAUGUGAAGCAAUACCCAGCCUUACUUGCAACUUUUAUGAAUCCCUGCUCAAUUCCAUAUGGGCUGGUGCUGGGUUGUCUCAGUGACUGACAUUUAUAGGGGUGGACCUAGCACUGCAGGUGUCCAACAAGUGUUUAUUGAAUGCAUUGAAUAUGUUCUUUCCUCAUUGAUUAAAAGUGACAUUUUUUAC
rnacentral:lncRNA from 1 species